rnacentral:rRNA from 1 species
AUUGAACGCUGGCGGCAUGCCUUACACAUGCAAGUCGAACGGUAACGGGCCUUCGGGUGCCGACGAGUGGCGAACGGGUGAGUAAUACAUCGGAACGUGCCCGAUCGUGGGGGAUAACGAGGCGAAAGCUUUGCUAAUACCGCAUACGAUCUACGGAUGAAAGCAGGGGACCGCAAGGCCUUGCGCGGACGGAGCGGCCGAUGGCAGAUUAGGUAGUUGGUGGGAUAAAAGCUUACCAAGCCGACGAUCUGUAGCUGGUCUGAGAGGAUGAUCAGCCACACUGGGACUGAGACACGGCCCAGACUCCUACGGGAGGCAGCAGUGGGGAAUUUUGGACAAUGGGCGCAAGCCUGAUCCAGCCAUGCCGCGUGCAGGAUGAAGGCCUUCGGGUUGUAAACUGCUUUUGUACGGAACGAAAAGCCUUCUUUUAAUACAGGAGGGUCAUGACAGUACCGUAAGAAUAAGCACCGGCUAACUACGUG